ACGGCCGCGGUAUCUUGACCGUGCAAAGGUAGCAUAAUCAAUUGUUUUAUAAUUGAAGACUGGAAUGAAUGGUUGAAUGAAAUAUUAGCUGUCUUAUUUAUAUUUGUUAGAAUUUAACUUUUAAAUGAAGAGAUUUAAAUAUAAUUGAUAGACAAGAAGACCCUGUUGAGCUUAAAAUAAUUUUAAAGGAAUAUUUUAUUAUGUCAGAUAAAUAAAUUUUAAAUUUUUUUUGGUUGGGGCGACUGAGGAAUAAUGAAAGCUUCCUUUAGUAAAAUUAUAUUAAUUGAUUUUGAUCCAAUAUUAUUGAUUAAAAAAAAUAGUUACCACAGGGAUAACAGCAUAAUCUUCUUUGAGAGCUCAUAUCGAAAAGAAGGGUUGUGACCUCGAUGUUGGACUAAAAUAUCCUAUAAAUGUAGCUGUUUAUGAUGGUUG
rnacentral:rRNA from 1 species